GACGAACGCUGGCGGCGUGCCUAAUACAUGCAAGUCGAACGAACUCUGGUAUUGAUUGGUGCUUGCAUCAUGAUUUACAUUUGAGUGAGUGGCGAACUGGUGAGUAACACGUGGGAAACCUGCCCAGAAGCGGGGGAUAACACCUGGAAACAGAUGCUAAUACCGCAUAACAACUUGGACCGCAUGGUCCGAGCUUGAAAGAUGGCUUCGGCUAUCACUUUUGGAUGGUCCCGCGGCGUAUUAGCUAGAUGGUGGGGUAACGGCUCACCAUGGCAAUGAUACGUAGCCGACCUGAGAGGGUAAUCGGCCACAUUGGGACUGAGACACGGCCCAAACUCCUACGGGAGGCAGCAGUAGGGAAUCUUCCACAAUGGACGAAAGUCUGAUGGAGCAACGCCGCGUGAGUGAAGAAGGGUUUCGGCUCGUAAAACUCUGUUGUUAAAGAAGAACAUAUCUGAGAGUAACUGUUCAGGUAUUGACGGUAUUUAACCAGAAAGCCACGGCUAACUACGUGCCAGCAGCCGCGGUAAUACGUAGGUGGCAAGCGUUGUCCGGAUUUAUUGGGCGUAAAGCGAGCGCAGGCGGUUUUUUAAGUCUGAUGUGAAAGCCUUCGGCUCAACCGAAGAAGUGCAUCGGAAACUGGGAAACUUGAGUGCAGAAGAGGACAGUGGAACUCCAUGUGUAGCGGUGAAAUGCGUAGAUAUAUGGAAGAACACCAGUGGCGAAGGCGGCUGUCUGGUCUGUAACUGACGCUGAGGCUCGAAAGUAUGGGUAGCAAACAGGAUUAGAUACCCUGGUAGUCCAUACCGUAAGCGAUGAAUGCUAAGUGUUGGAGGGUUUCCGCCCUUCAGUGCUGCAGCUAACGCAUUAAGCAUUCCGCCUGGGGAGUACGGCCGCAAGGCUGAAACUCAAAGGAAUUGACGGGGGCCCGCACAAGCGGUGGAGCAUGUGGUUUAAUUCGAAGCUACGCGAAGAACCUUACCAGGUCUUGACAUACUAUGCAAAUCUAAGAGAUUAGACGUUCCCUUCGGGGACAUGGAUACAGGUGGUGCAUGGUUGUCGUCAGCUCGUGUCGUGAGAUGUUGGGUUAAGUCCCGCAACGAGCGCAACCCUUAUUAUCAGUUGCCAGCAUUAAGUUGGGCACUCUGGUGAGACUGCCGGUGACAAACCGGAGGAAGGUGGGGAUGACGUCAAAUCAUCAUGCCCCUUAUGACCUGGGCUACACACGUGCUACAAUGGAUGGUACAACGAGUUGCGAACUCGCGAGAGUAAGCUAAUCUCUUAAAGCCAUUCUCAGUUCGGAUUGUAGGCUGCAACUCGCCUACAUGAAGUCGGAAUCGCUAGUAAUCGCGGAUCAGCAUGCCGCGGUGAAUACGUUCCCGGGCCUUGUACACACCGCCCGUCACACCAUGAGAGUUUGUAACACCCAAAGUCGGUGGGGUAACCUUUUAGGAACCAGCCGCCUAAGGUGGGACAGAUGAUUAGGGUGAAGUCGUAACAAGGUAGCCGUAG
rnacentral:rRNA from 1 species